UUCAUUCAUUCAUUCAUUCUUUCUUUCUUUCCUUCCCUCAUUCAUUCCCCCCAUUCAUCCCUUCCCCAUUCAUUCAUUCAUUCAUUCAUUCAUUCAUUCAUUCAUUCACCCCCCCAUUCAUUCCUUCCUUCCUCCCCCCAUUCAUUCAUUCAUUCAUUCAUCCAUUCAUCCAUUCAUCAAUUCCUCCCCCAUUCAUCCAUCCAUCCAUUCACACCUAUUUCCAUUCCCAGCCCCCCUCCCCGCCCCGAAGCCCCUCCACCAUCUCUCGGUUCCGUUAUUGUCCCGUCGUCGUUGUCGUUGUUUUUAUUCCCGUCCGGGUCGGGACGGUCACGUGGCACUUCCGGCUGCGGACACGGUUUGUGCCGGGUACCGGCAGGGGGCGCGCGACGCGUGUCAGGGUGAUUCCGGCGGCCCCCUGUCGUGCCUGGUUGGCGACGUGUGGCUGUUGGCCGGUAUCGUGAGUUGGGGUGAAUCCUGCGGCCUCCCGGCCCGUCCCGGUGUCUACACCCGAACCGCGGCCCACACCGAAUGGAUCGCCGCCAUGAUACCGGAAGUAUCCAUACGUCACGCCCAACCCGGAAGUAAACCGGAACCGGAAGAUGAAGAUGACGGAAGUCCGUGUGAAGAGGAAGGGGAGGAAACGGAAGUUGGGGGGGCGCUGUGGUCACAUCCGCUUCCGCCUUCUGGGAUGGGUGGGACUUCCGGUGUGGAGCGGAUAUCCGGGUUGGGGGUGCUGGUAAUGGCGGCCGCGGUGGGGUGGGCGGUGGGGGGGUGAAAUAAAGGGGGGAAAAGGACCCGGAUGGAGGAAUGUGGAGGGGGGGGAACACAUGGGGGGUAAUGGGACCCCGAUUGUGGGAUAAUAUAUGGAUGGUGGCACCCAUGGGUGGCUGUGGAGGUCAAGAUGGCGGACAAGAUGGCGGCCUAAGGGGGGUGGCAAUGGGACCCAAUAUGGCGGCCAAGGGUGGCUAUGGAUCCAAUAUGGCGGCCAAUAUGGCGGCAAAUAUGGCGGCCAUGGGUGGCUAUGGACCCCAAUAUGGCGGCCAAGGGUGGAUAUGGAUCCAAUAUGGCGGCCAAUAUGGCGGCCAUGGGUGGCAAUGGAUCCAAUAUGGCGGCCAAUAUGGCGGCCAUGGGUGGCUAUGGAUCCAACAUGGCGGCCAAGGGUGGCUCUGGAUCCAAUAAGGCGGCCAAUAUGGCGGCCAUGGGUGGCUCUGGAUCCAAUAUGGCGGCCAAUAUGGCGGCUAUGGGUGGCUCUGGAUCCAAUAUGGUGGCCAAGGGUGGCUAUGGAUCCAA
rnacentral:lncRNA from 1 species